rnacentral:snRNA from 1 species
GGAUGUGAGGGCAAUGUAGUUGCUGCGACAUCUGUCACCCCACUGAUUGCCAAGGUUGAUUUGGCUGAUCUGGCUGGGUAGGUGAAUGUCCUGUUCCUCCUUCAUGGCUCCAUGUGCGUCCCUCCUGAAGCUGUGCGCUGGGUCGAAGAAGCCAGCCCGGUAGAGACAGACCAGUCUUAAUGAGGGUAUAUGAGUAGCUGUGCUCUCCUGCUAGGACCUCCAAACAAGCUCUCUGGUUUUUUUGUUUGUUUGUUUUGCCACCAGGGUUAUUGCUUGGUGCACCAGAGUUAGAGCUCGGU